rfam:Phialocephala subalpina strain TAMH 11012 genome assembly, contig: PAC_scaffold_001
ACUGAUGAUUCAAAUCAAAAGCUUUUUAACCCUUAAUGGAGAUCUGCUCCUUGAAGACCAAAAACAACAACUCUAAUUUUUUCCUGACU